CAAUGCACAGGCAUACACGCAUUUAGGGCCGAGCCCCACUGCACCCUUAGAGCUGCCCUCUGCCUCAGGAGGCCCUGGGUUCCUGAUGCUGCCAGGGAGAGCUGGGGGAGUAGAGACGGUCCCAACUCUCUGCAGGAAGAGCAAAGAGCAAAGAGCAAAGAGCGGCUGGUCUCUUUCUCCAACCCAAACCAUCUCUGGAUCUCCAGAAGCAGCCCAGCAGAGAGUCCCUCACCCCAGCUGGAGAGCAAAGCCACCAGCAACGAAACAGGCAAAUGAAAAUGGGCUCUGCCAGAGAAUUCUCCUCCUCUUAGCCCAUCCUUCACUGAGGUUAGAGGGAAGGUAUUAUUAUCUGGAUACUAGUAUCAAAGAUCUCUGUUUCCCUUUGCUGAAACAAGGAGGCCCCUGGGACUGUGGUCAGAGGCCUGAAUGGUUCCCCUGGUCCACCUUCUGGCCACUUUCUGCUGAUGUGGUCUCAAACACAAUAUCCUAUCAUCCCCCUGAUUCAGAAAGGAUGGAGAGGAUGCAUAUUGCCCACCUGGCCUGUAAGAGAUAAAGGAAUCAGCACCUUUGAAGAUCUAUGGUGUCUGUUUCCAGGGAAGAGAGAACUGAGACUGUGGCAAUCCUUCCAGGGAGGAGUGGCUGUGUCUGUCUGCACAUGUGAAUGCCCAGUACCCUUUGUGCAGCCCCAAAGGAUACAAUUGUAUACUACUAGCCUAGCCUCUCGUAUCCUUUUCUCACUGGGAAGCCUCUUUCUGGGAAUGCUCAGCCUUCCCUGAUCUCUUCUCUCCCAUUUCCCUCUAUUCUUUCGUAGCUGGGGCCUCUCCUUGACCCACAAUCCAUAUGAGAGACCUUUAUCCACACAGCUCAGAGUGGGGGAGAAUUGGGGCAAAAGAGAGCUCUAACAAGCCUGAAGCCUCUUCCCCUCUUUUGUUUUCAUAAGCUGCCCCCAUUGCUAUGAGUCACCAGAACCUUGAGCUCAGCUGAGCUGCCAGCAGCCUUCUCCCUCCUUGCCCUGCAGCAAGGCAGAUAUGCACCCAAAGGGCCCCAAGCCCACCACCUCACAGGGCCACAGCCUUUUCUUUCAUCCCUAGGAAUCUGUAAUGCAGACACAUUGAAAUGAGUGAGCAAAGAAGUGUGAGAGACCCCAGCAUGUGUUCUGUGCCAGAGCAGAGAGCCGGCUGCCUGCAUGGCAGAGCAGAACCACCAACCAGAAGAGCUGGCACACUUGGGCACACAGCCUCGUCAGCAUGUGAGAGAGGGUGCAGGAGAGGAUAGGAUAAGGAGGCUGUUUCAAGACCAGGCAUCUCCUCCUAGCUCCCUCUCUGGUUACUGUUUAUUCCCCUUGGCCUCUCUCCCUGGGUGCUGAUGGACAUCAUAGCACUGCCACCUCUGAGGCACCUUCCUUCCCCUCGCCCAUGGCUUUGGGAGCUAAAGAGGGGCUAUAACAACCUUCGAGGUGUCAGGUGGGAGGUUCAGACAUCUAGAUGCCUUACCAACCCAUGGGACAUACUGAGGGAGAAGGAGGAAAGGCGGAGUCUCAUCAGAGUAAAAGCUAAACCCUGGGCUAAUACUGAGCUUGUUUUUCUCCAAAGUGCAGGGGAUUCUGCUACCUCUGCCUCCCACUCACUUCAAGUCUACUCUUCUUUCCCAGCAAAGACUCAGCAUUCCUUGUGGCCUCUAGACUCCAGGCUCUGACUCUGGGGCUGUAGAUCUCCUUGCCUAAACCUUGGGAGUAUGAGGCAGGGCUGGUGGGGACUACGGGAAUGGAAGCCUCAUUCCUUAGAGAAACAUCUAGAAUCUAGACUGAAUGCUUUCAGGGCCUUUUGGACCCUCCACUAUGCCUCUAAUGUUGGACCGGGGCUGUACAAGGGUUGAGAAAGGGCCUACCGAAAGCCUGACCCCCCUUCUGCUCCUUCUUUGCUGUUCUGCUCCACCGCUCUGUUUCAAAAGAGAAAGAGCAGCUCUGUAAACAGGAGCCUCUAAUAAAUCUCAUGAGUAAUAUUCAAUAUGAACACCACCCCUCUAGGUUAGGCAGUCAGCCCCACAGAUGGGACUAUAGGCCUCAGUUCCCAAAUUUCCCCUCUCUGUCUUCUCCCUGACUUUCCCAGACGAGAAUUAUCCUCUUCAAUUCCCUGGCACAGUUCUCCCAGUUCUCACUACUAUGGGCCCUUGGAAGUAGAGGAAGAGCUUGAUGGAUUCUUUCCAGACUAUCUUGGGGGGAUGCAAAGGGUCCUUCUCACUCACUGUUUGUAGAGAAGGCAGAGAAUGAGAGAACCAAGCAGAUGACCCUGAAGGUCUACAAAUAAGGGCGGUGAGUGUGGGGCACUUAGAGAGGCACAUUCUGCUCUUCCUCAAGGACUCUGGGGAUAUAAAAUGGGAUACUAAGAUAGAGAAGACAAUUCUGGGAGUGGGGGAAAGGUGUUGGGGGCUUAGAGAGUGUGAGGAAGUUUCUACUCAUGCUGCUUUCCAAGAUCUCCCAUCUUUGCCCUGACUCCAACUUAGUCUCCUGAAGCACAGAACACAGAAUCUUGAAUUUUUUGAGGAAGGAAGAAGAUGCCAGGAAAUGCCACUUUUGGCAACCUAGUGAGAAAGCCCCUUUUCUCCUUCAUUCAUUCCCUCCUUAACCCUAGUGUCUGAACAGUAAAGGAAGGAGGGAGCAGGAGUGUUGUGGAAAGUUGGAAACAUGCCUUGCCCUUCUAUCCAUUAUGCACCAACCCCACACAAAGCCAGAUAGGGCUUGACUAAAUGCUCUGAGGCCAUGACACUGCAUGAAAUGCAGGGGUAUUUGUGACUUGGCUUCCUGAGCCUUGAGUUUUAACCCUGUCUCUGUUUUAGGCCUAGACAUGGGACAAGAGAUAUGAGGCUACUCUCUACAUUUCUGGGCAUAAUUUUGUCUAGUAGUUUAGAAUGUGACAGGGAAACUUGUGAUAAAAUCUUUAAAAAAAAAAAAAAAGCUCAACAUUUAGUCACCUUUUGGAGAUUUAUUUUUUGAUUAAGGAACUGGGACAGUUGGUACCUUCCCUGUGGACUUUACAGAGUAUAGUAUAGUAAAAUCCCAUGAGAGCGACGGACUCUUGGGGAUCUGUCUGCUUGGGAGCAAGGGAAUGGAUGAGGUGACCUCUGGACCUGUAUGAGAGAAAUGUUCCCCCAAUAAUGCACCUGCCUAAUGCCCUUUAGUUGCUUCUAAGACUUGGAGGCCAGAGAUAAGAGACUCCAAUAAUAAUCGUGCCAACCCUCUUCCCUUGACUUUCCUCCCCACAUUCUACCUACCUGCCUACCUACCUACCUACCUUUCCUUGUGGUCCCAGGAACUCUCCAAAUCCAGGAACUGAUUUCCCCUCUCAGUCUCCAUUUCCACAUCUGUAAAGUGAAAGGUUUGGCAAGAUGAGCUCCAAGUUCUCUUCCUUGCAGCAGUAUGAUCCUAUGAGUCACACCCCAAUGGCACCAGGCCUCAAGUAACGUCCUUCACUUAUGUCUAAAUGUACAUAUGCUUCACUUAUGUCUAAAUGUACAGAUAUAUCUCUGAACCUCUCACUACAGUCCCUGGUUCUGUGGUCCCUUUCUCUUGCCUUCUCUCUUCAAGGACCUCAAAGUUCUGUCCCUACUUUCCUUUCACAGUUUUACAUUACUCACUGGGACAAGCCCAACUGGAAAAGAUCCCAGGAGCAAGAAAAUAGCCUUACCUAAUAACCUGGCUGCAAUUUUGCACCUCAGACCCAAAUCAGCCGGUACUAUUCUAUGCUUUUUGGAGGUCCUAGCAGUUGGGGGGAAGUCCUGGCAACUCUCCCCAGGACCUCCCCUCCUCCUCCACCUUACGAUUCUCCUUGCCAGAACGCAAAGUGGCCAGUGAUUGAUGGGCCUGGGUUCCUGGUAACCGCACCCAGUGGCCCAAUCCUCCUCCCUUACCCAAUCCCUCCCCUGUCCCUAUUCAGAGAUCAGAUUGUCUCAUGUUGGUCCCUGAGGUCCCAUUAAUUAAAAAUACAUCCAAUUAAAUGGCAGGUGAAAACGUGCUAUUGGAGCUCUCCACCCCCCUGCCCCAGCUUGGUCUCCCCCCCUCCUUUUAAGGCUCAGCUGUGCUUUGAGCUGAGAAAAAAAAAAAAAAAAAACACAGAGAAAGAGAGAGGGAGAAAGAGGGAGAGAGAAGAGGAAGACAUAGGGGUGGGAGGAUGAAGGGGGGCUGCUAUUUGAACCUCUGCCAGGGUAGCAUGUGCCAGCCUGGGAGGGUGGCACUGUGCCCUGGUGUCUAAUUUCUGGAGGUGUGACUAGGUUCAGUCAGCUGAGUACCCACCUCCAUUUCCCUUAAAGGGGCAGAGGGAAGUCAAAGGGUGUGGCUAGCUUCUAGGCUUGAUGGGUGAAGGGCAGAAGUGUAAGUGGUAGAGGGCCCUUAGGACAGGGUGUGAUGUUCAGAGUUGGGAGAGUCUGAGGUCUCCAUCCUUGGCAUAUCCCUGUUCUUCUCCAACCUGCAAAGAAGAUAAUGAGAAGCCGGCUGGGACCCAGGUGGCAGGGCAUGGCGAUGCUCCCAAGCCAGGCUGUGCCUACCCCUACCCGCAGGAAAGCUGAGGGGGAAAAAAAAAAAAAAAACAGAGGGAGGGAGGAAGGACAGAGCCAUAAUUUGAGUGGGAGCAGAUGGGUCAGAUAGGAUAAAAUAUAUAAGGAUGGAUGUUUAUAUGAGCACCACAACACUCAGCACCUUCUAGGCAAGAGGGUCUGGAGGGAUCUGUCCUAUUUGCCCUUCUCUAGUCAAAAAGAAGUAGCAGUAGUGUGAAGUCACCUCAACCUGGCUGCCUGGCAGGCUAUGAGCAGGGUAUUUCCCCUGACAAGCACUGGUCACUCAUUCUCCUCCACACUUACCAUGUCCCAGCAUUUUGUCAGGUAAGGCAUCUGUUCCACCCUCUGCCCCUCGGAAAGCCCUCUGGCCCCAAGCAAUGCAAAGCUAAUGGGCACUGAGAGCUGUUGGGAGAGGAGCUAGGAAAGAAGGGAUGAGUAAAGGUGGUGCUCAGAAUCCAGGCACCAGGGGGGUGUCUGCCAACCCAGGGCCCCCGCCUGGCCUCCCUGGCAGCCUCAGUACCUCCUCACUUCACUUUAACGCUAAUUGGAGAUUUUAAUCUGCGCUGCUGCUCUGCUCGGGGUGCUGGGGGGAGUGCCAGCUGUGCAGUAAUUCCAGCAGCACCGACUGUUUAAUCAAGCUGUCCUCCUGGGGAGGGGCCCUCGGGCAUGGGGGUAGGAGGGAGGAGGAGAACCUCUGUCAUCUCCCUUAGCCUGUUCAGCCUGGAAGGGCUUCAUGGAGACUGAGGAUCAAUUGUGGGAUACCUCACCCCCAUAGGGGCCCCAUCGCCACUCAGAUCCUCAGCAGAGCCAUUACACCGUAAGGGGUUGGUUUGAAGCCCCAGGGCCAAAGUAGCCCCCCUCCCCAUCUGGCUUUCUGACACCUUUUUUUUUGGGUGUGCUCUGGCCACUCAAGCUGCAGACCUCUACUGGACCAUCUUGAGUUCUGCAAGUCUGUGUUGGGGAGGUGAUGGGGGCACAGAAGGCUGAACUUUCUCCCUCUCACAGUCCUCUCCCCCACAUUCUCACUAACAAAGAUAUUUCUCUUACAAUUUUGAGAGAUUUUUUUCUCUGAAAAUCACAGGUGCUCCCACCCUCUGGACCAGAAAGUGACUGUGUAAGAGGCAGGGAAACAGUGGGGUGGACAGCUGAAACCUGCUACACCCUGAGGAAGAAAACCAUCUAUGCAAGAAGUUUGGUGUCUGGAGCUAGAGGGCUUCCCGCGUUCAGCUGGAAACAUACCGAGAUGUCAGGCCACUAGGGCACUGCCUUCACUUGGAUCUAAAAACAAAGGAGAGAGGAAUAAUGCUAUUUUCCAGACACCAUCUGCAACUGAGCUCAGAAAUGUCAUCACCAAAAGCACGUCUCAGGAUAUGAGGGAAGAGGAUGAAGUGAAAUGUUGAGGCUCCCUGCCCUUCCUAGACCAGUAAUCUCUUGUAUCCCGCACAACAUAAAUUAAAAUCUCCUUAGCAA